UAUGAUAAAAUAUAACCUUAUUAGGCCAGACCAAUUUUAUUUCUUGUUUUACAUAUUUUUGUCCUCAGAUAACCUAAAGGCAGGGGGAAAAAAAUAAGUAAAAUAAAAUCACCAAAGUAAUAUUCCUUCUAAAUAUUAAAGUAUUUUACAUUUGGUAAUUUGUGAAGUGUAUAUGUGGCAAAAAACAAUAAAAAUAAAAUUUUCCUGUAAGUUUACAUUUUUGGUGGAUAAAAACAUUAGCAUUUUAUUUUUGAGCAGGGACAAUUUAUUUUUAUAUUUUAUCUUAUUCUAGAAAAAAUACGACCGGCAGAUCUGUAAAACAAGAAAUAAAA